rnacentral:lncRNA from 1 species
UAUAUAAGAAACUACCUUAAUUUCUGCUGCUAGCUGAAUCUAAUACCAUAAGAGGAAUAGAAACCUGUGGAAUACUUUGUGGAAAGCUGACACAUAAUGAAUUUACUAUUACCCACGUGAUCGUGCCAAAGCAGUCUGCUGGGCCAGACUAUUGUGAUGUGGAGAAUGUAGAAGAAUUAUUCAGUGUUCAGGAUCAACACGAUCUCCUCACUUUGGGAUGGAUCCAUGUAUGUUUGACUUGUUGGAUUUCAGUUUAUUUUGUAAGGCAUAUUAUUUUC